rnacentral:rRNA from 1 species
UACGUAGGGUGCAAGCGUUGUCCGGAAUUAUUGGGCGUAAAGAGCUCGUAGGCGGUUUGUCGCGUCGGCUGUGAAACUCGGGGCUCAACCCCGAGCCUGCAGUCGAUACGGGCAGACUAGAGUGCGUGUAGGGGAGACUGGAAUUCCUGGUGUAGCGGUGAAAUGCGCAGAUAUCAGGAGGAACACCGGUGGCGAAGGCGGGUCUCUGGGCAGUAACUGACGCUGAGGAGCGAAAGCGUGGGGAGGCGAACAGG